GACGAACGCUGGCGGCGUGCUUAACACAUGCAAGUCGAACGGAAAGGCCCUGCUUUUGUGGGGUGCUCGAGUGGCGAACGGGUGAGUAACACGUGAGUAACCUGCCCUUGACUUUGGGAUAACUUCAGGAAACUGGGGCUAAUACCGGAUAGGAGCUCCUGCUGCAUGGUGGGGGUUGGAAAGUUUCGGCGGUUGGGGAUGGACUCGCGGCUUAUCAGCUUGUUGGUGGGGUAGUGGCUUACCAAGGCUUUGAAGGGUAGCCGGCCUGGGAGGGUGACCGGCCACAUUGGGACUGAGAUACGGCCCAGACUCCUACGGGAGGCAGCAGUGGGGAAUAUUGCACAAUGGGCGGAAGCCUGAUGCAGCAACGCCGCGUGCGGGAUGACGGCCUUCGGGUUGUAAACCGCUUUCGCCUGUGACGAAGCGUGAGUGACGGUAAUGGGUAAAGAAGCACCGGCUAACUACGUG
rnacentral:rRNA from 1 species